AAUGAACGCUGGCGGCGUGCUUUACACAUGCAAGUUGAGCGAGGCCACCCGCAAGGGUGAGUCGAGCGGCGAACGGGUGAGUAACGCGUGGAUAACCUGCCCUGAGGUGGGGAAUAACCCGGGGAAACUCGGGCUAAUACCGCAUGAUACCAAGCGGUCAAAGGGGGCUCGCAAGAGCUCCUGCCACAGGAGGGGUCCGCGUUCGAUUAGCUAGUUGGUAGGGUAAUGGCCUACCAAGGCGACGAUCGAUAGCCGGCCUGAGAGGGUGAUCGGCCACACUGGAACUGAGACACGGUCCAGACUCCUACGGGAGGCAGCAGUGGGGAAUUUUGCGCAAUGGGCUAACGCCUGACGCAGCAACGCCGCGUGGAGGAUGAAGGUCUUUGGAUUGUAAACUCCUGUCAGCAGGG
rnacentral:rRNA from 1 species